GACCUGGUGGCAUAACUGGUAAUGUGCACACUUACGGUAAGACGAUGACACAUAAUUUUUUAAUGCGAAACCCUCGUUCAAUUCGAGGUCAGGCCG